rnacentral:rRNA from 1 species
AUUGAACGCUGGCGGCAUGCCUUACACAUGCAAGUCGAACGGUAACGGGCCUUCGGGUGCCGACGAGUGGCGAACGGGGGAGUAAUGUAUCGGAACGUACCUUUCAGUGGGGGAUAACGUAGCGAAAGUUACGCUAAUACCGCAUAUUCUGUGUGCAGGAAAGCAGGGGAUCGCAAUGCCUUGCGCUGAUUGAGCGGCCGAUAGCAGAUUAGCUAGUUGGUGAGGUAAAGGCUCACCAAGGCGACGAUCUGUAGCGGGUCUGAGAGGAUGAUCCGCCACACUGGAACUGAGACACGGUCCAGACUCCUACGGGAGGCAGCAGUGGGGAAUUUUGGACAAUGGGGGCAACCCUGAUCCAGCCAUGCCGCGUGAGUGAAGAAGGCCUUCGGGUUGUAAAGCUCUUUCGGCCGGGAAGAAAUCGUAUCAGCUAAUACCUGGUGCGGAUGACGGUACCGGCAUAAGAAGCACCGGCUAACUACGUGCCAGCAGCCGCCGCCGUAA